rnacentral:rRNA from 1 species
ACUCAAAUGAAUUGACGGGGGCCCGCACAAGCGGUGGAGCAUGUGGUUUAAUUCGACGCAACGCGAAGAACCUUACCUGGGUUUGACAUGUUAGUGGUAGGAAACUGAAAGGGGACCGACCUAUAGCAAUAUAGGAGCUAAUACAGGUGCUGCAUGGCUGUCGUCAGCUCGUGCCGUGAGGUGUUGGGUUAAGUCCCGCAACGAGCGCAACCCUUAUCCUCUGUUACUCCGCAAGGAGGUCUCUGAGGAAACUGCCGGCGAUGAGCUGGAGGAAGGUGGGGACGACGUCAAGUCAUCAUGGCCCUUAUAUCCAGGGCUACACACGUGCUACAAUGGGUACUACAGAGGGUUGCAAGACCGUGAGGUGGAGCCAAUCCCCAAAAGUAUUCGUAGUUGGGAUCGGAGUCUGCAACUCGACUCCGUGAACCUGGAAUCGCUAGUAAUCGCGGAUCAGAACGCCGCGGUGAAUACGUUCCCGGGCCUUGUACACACCGCCCGU